GAUCCUGGCUUAGGAUGAACGCUGGCGGCGUGCCUAACACAUGCAAGUCGAGCGGGAGUAUGUGGAGCAGAGAUCGUCAAAGCAAGACAUACGAGAGCGGCGGACGGGUGAGUAACGCGUAGGUAACCUACCUUAAGCUGAGGGAUAACCCAGGGAAGCCCGGGAUAAUACCACAUAAUGCGGGGGAGUCACAUGGUCCCCUCGCCAAAGAUUUAUCGGCAUAAGAUGGACCUGCGUCUGAUUAGCCAGUUGGUGGGGUAACGGCCUACCAAAGCAACGAUCAGUAGCCGACCUGAGAGGGUGAUCGGCCACAUUGGAACUGAGACACGGUCCAAACUCCUACGGGAGGCAGCAGUGGGGAAUAUUGCACAAUGGGCGCAAGCCUGAAUGCAGCAACGCCGCGUGAGCGAAGAAGGUCUUCGGAUCGUAAAGCUCUGUCCUAAGGGACGAAGAAGUGACGGUACCUUAGGAGGAAGCCCCGGCUAACUACGUGCCAGCCGCCGC
rnacentral:rRNA from 1 species